GCAUCGCUGAGAAGUCCCACAAUAGGACGAAACGGCCGUCCAAGGC
rfam:Schistosoma margrebowiei strain Zambia genome assembly, scaffold: SMRZ_scaffold0000040